rnacentral:rRNA from 1 species
GAGUUUGAUCCUGGCUCAGGACGAACGCUGGCGGCGUGCUUAACACAUGCAAGUCGAACGAUGAACCAGGGCUUGCCCUGGGAAUUAGUGGCGAACGGGUGAGUAACACGUGGGCAACCUGCCCCUGACUCUGGGAUAACUCCGGGAAACCGGGGCUAAUACCGGAUAUGAACCUCGACGGCAUCAUUGAGGUUGGAAAGUUUUUCGGUCAGGGAUGGGCCCGCGGCCUAUCAGCUUGUUGGUGGGGUAAUGGCCUACCAAGGCGACGACGGGUAGCCGGCCUGAGAGGGCGACCGGCCACACUGGGACUGAGACACGGCCCAGACUCCUACGGGAGGCAGCAGUGGGGAAUAUUGCGCAAUGGGCGAAAGCCUGACGCAGCGACGCCGCGUGAGGGACGACGGCCUUCGGGUUGUAAACCUCUUUCAGCAGGGACGAAGCGAAAGUGACGGUACCUGCAGAAGAAGCACCGGCCAACUACGUGCCAGCAGCCGCGGUAAUACGUAGGGUGCAAGCGUUGUCCGGAAUUAUUGGGCGUAAAGAGCUCGUAGGCGGUCUGUCACGUCGGAUGUGAAAACUCGGGGCUCAACCCCGAGCCUGCAUUCGAUACGGGCAGACUUGAGUUCGGCAGGGGAGACUGGAAUUCCUGGUGUAGCGGUGAAAUGCGCAGAUAUCAGGAGGAACACCGGUGGCGAAGGCGGGUCUCUGGGCCGAUCGUGUCGCUGAGGAGACGAACACGUGGGGAGAUAACAUGAUUUGCUACACGCGGUAGUUCAUCAGGUUCACGGUGGGUCCAGAGUGUGGGGAUCGUCCACGUUGUUCCUCCUGCAUCUGCGCAUUCAGCACUACGCCAGGAGAGUCAGUCUGCAAGGCUGAAAUUCAGUGGAAUUGUCGGGAAUGCAGGCUAGCGGCGGAGCAUCGAGUUUAAUCAUAUGCAGCGACAAGACCCUUACCAAGUCUUGACAUACAAUAAAAUCUCAUAGAGAUAUCAGCUUAGCAAGGGCCGUAUACAGGGCAGCUAGUUGGUCGUCAGCUCUUGUCAGAGAUGUCACUUAAGUUUCGCAACGAGGAAAGAGGUCUUCAUACGGAAGCAGCUGAUAACUCCGGGGGCUCAUAGGAGUCAGCCGGUGUCACAUUGGACAAAGUUGGGCACGGCGUCAUGUCAUCGGAGUCUGGAUGUUGUGUCAUUCACACAGGGUCCAAUGGCCAUUUCAAAGGGGUUAGAUGUCGUAAGGUGGAUAGAACAUUAUAAAGCCAGCAACAGGAUAGAUCGGGGUCCCAUACUCGACCGAAAAAAUUUGGAGUCUCUAGUAAUCGCAGAUCAGCAAUAUUGCGUAUUAUACGUUGGUUUGCCGGAUACUCCCAGAGUCAGGGGUCACGAAAGUCGGUAACACUCGAAGCCGGUGCCCCAAUCCUCAUGGGAGGGAGCCGUCGAAGGUGGGACUGGCGAUGGGGAAGCAGUCGUAACAAGGUAGCCGUUCCGGAAGGAUCGAACGCAUCCCCUCGAGGAUAAUCCGGACCGCGGGCUGGAUCACCUCCUUUCU